rnacentral:rRNA from 1 species
GACGAACGCUGGCGGCGUGCUUAACACAUGCAAGUCGAACGGUGAAGCUCCAGCUUGCUGGAGUGGAUCAGUGGCGAACGGGUGAGUAACACGUGAGCAACCUGCCCCUGACUCUGGAAUAAGCGCUGGAAACGGCGUCUAAUACUGGAUACGAGAAGGGUCCGCAUGGGCACUUUCUGGAAAGUUUUUCGGUUGGGGAUGGGCUCGCGGCCUAUCAGCUUGUUGGUGAGGUAAUGGCUCACCAAGGCGACGACGGGUAGCCGGCCUGAGAGGGCUACCGGCCACACUGGGACUGAGACACGGCCCAGACUCCUACGGGAGGCAGCAGUGGGGAAUAUUGCACAAUGGGCGAAAGCCUGAUGCAGCGACGCCGCGUGAGGGAUGACGGCCUUCGGGUUGUAAACCUCUUUCAGCAGGGAAGAAGCGAAAGUGACGGUACCUGCAGAAGAAGCACCGGCUAACUACGUG